GGGUGGGUAGUCCCGUAGGGGCCGGGAGCAGACUGUAAAUCUGUCAGGCAUGUACUCGCGUGAGUUCGACUCUCACCUCACCCA
rfam:Parcubacteria (Wolfebacteria) bacterium GW2011_GWA2_47_9b TY19_C0005, whole genome shotgun sequence.